AUCUGGGAUGGUUCCAGGUGGAUCUGGAAGGUUCCAGAUGGUUCCAGAUGGUUCCAGGAGGAUCUGGGACGGUUCUGGGAGGAUCUGGAAGGUUCUGGAAGGUUUCUGGAGGAUCUGGGAUGGUUCCAGAAGGUUCCAGGAGGAUCUGGGAUGGUUCUGAGGGAUCUGUGAUGGUUCCAGGAGGAUCUGGGAGGUUCCAGAAGGUUCUGGAAGGUUCCAGAAGGUUCCAGGAGGAUCUGGGAUGAUCUGGA
rnacentral:lncRNA from 1 species